GACGAACGCUGGCGGCGUGCCUAAUACAUGCAAGUAGAACGCACAGUUUAUACCGUAGCUUGCUACACCAUAGACUGUGAGUUGCGAACGGGUGAGUAACGCGUAGGUAACCUGCCUGGUAGCGGGGGAUAACUAUUGGAAACGAUAGCUAAUACCGCAUAAUAUUGAUUAUUGCAUGAUAAUUGAUUGAAAGAUGCUAUUGCAUCGCUACCAGAUGGACCUGCGUUGUAUUAGCUAGUAGGUGAGGUAACGGCUCACCUAGGCGACGAUACAUAGCCGACCUGAGAGGGUGAUCGGCCACACUGGGACUGAGACACGGCCCAGACUCCUACGGGAGGCAGCAGUAGGGAAUCUUCGGCAAUGGACGAAAGUCUGACCGAGCAACGCCGCGUGAGUGAAGAAGGUUUUCGGAUCGUAAAGCUCUGUUGUAAGAGAAGAACGGGUGUGAGAGUGGAAAGUUCACACUGUGACGGUAUCUUACCAGAAAGGGACGGCUAACUACGUG
rnacentral:rRNA from 1 species